UCGGGAAUUUUGGGCAAUGGGCGAAAGCCUGACCCAGCAACGCCGCGUGAAGGAUGAAGUCUCUCGGGAUGUAAACUUCGUAAGAAUAGGAAGAAUAAAUGACGGUACUAUUUGUAAGGUCCGGCUAACUACGUGCCAGCAGCCGCGGUAAUACGUAGGGACCAAGCGUUGUUCGGAUUUACUGGGCGUAAAGGGCGCGUAGGCGGCGUGGUAAGUCACUUGUGAAAUCUCCGAGCUUAACUCGGAACGGUCAAGUGAUACUGCUGUGCUAGAGUACAGAAGGGGCAAUCGGAAUUCUUGGUGUAGCGGUGAAAUGCGUAGAUAUCAAGAGGAACACCUGAGGUGAAGACGGGUUGCUGGGCUGACACUGACGCUGAGGCGCGAAAGCUAGGGGAGCAAACGGGAUUAGAUACCCCAGUAGUCCCUGAGCGGGCUGGCAAGGCGCAU
rnacentral:rRNA from 1 species